GAUGAACACUGGCGGCGUGCCUAAUACAUGCAAGUCGAGCGAACAGACGAGGAGCUUGCUCCUCUGACGUUAGCGGCGGACGGGUGAGUAACACGUGGAUAACCUACCUAUAAGACUGGGAUAACUUCGGGAAACCGGAGCUAAUACCGGAUAAUAUAUUGAACCGCAUGGUUCAAUAGUGAAAGACGGUUUUGCUGUCACUUAUAGAUGGAUCCGCGCCGCAUUAGCUAGUUGGUAAGGUAACGGCUUACCAAGGCAACGAUGCGUAGCCGACCUGAGAGGGUGAUCGGCCACACUGGAACUGAGACACGGUCCAGACUCCUACGGGAGGCAGCAGUAGGGAAUCUUCCGCAAUGGGCGAAAGCCUGACGGAGCAACGCCGCGUGAGUGAUGAAGGUCUUCGGAUCGUAAAACUCUGUUAUUAGGGAAGAACAAAUGUGUAAGUAACUAUGCACGUCUUGACGGUACCUAAUCAGAAGGCCACGGCUAACUACGUGCCAGCAGCCGCCGUAA
rnacentral:rRNA from 1 species